UGGUCACAUGAUGUUUGUAUCACCACCCAUCUAAAGCAGGCUUAAUGUCAGUCUGCUUUGUACA
rfam:Oryza rufipogon genomic scaffold, chr10